UAAAUUUGUACUGAGCAUGUCAUUUUGAAAAGAAAAAUCUGAAUAAACUACAGCCCAUCAGACGAGAAAAGGCUGAUUCUGCCAAUUCGAGUUCGAUGUCUGGCUAGGUGUCUUGUGCAGACCUGACAUAGGCUAUGCUGGACAUGAGCAAGUGUUCCCAAUCGCAUCUUAAAGAAAUUCAAGUUCGAUGCAAGAAAGGUUUGCUCUUUCAAAAUCAAUGCAUUUGUGAGUACCAAGCUGAAUAAGGUUUAUUAUGCAUGCUCAAGAGGUUUGCCUGAAGUUACAUUUUUCAGAAACUUGUCAGAGGAAGAGACGAUGGGCUUUAGAGAAUUUGAAUCCCUGGAUAGUGAUAAGUAGAGGGAUAAUUAACCUUGAGGUCCUAAGGGCAGCUUUGUAAAAGGGAGAUUCAAUACCAAGAUUUAUGAUUUGGCAUAGGCGAGAUGGCAUACAAGUGAGUAUGUUGUUUUGAGCUUUUCACGUAACCGCUCUUCUAAGGUCAAUGGCUUGCGGACUGUACUUCUAUAGACCCUUUCUUGC